rnacentral:rRNA from 1 species
AUUGAACGCUGGCGGCAGGCCUAACACAUGCAAGUCGAGCGGCAGCACGGGUACUUGUACCUGGUGGCGAGCGGCGGACGGGUGAGUAAUGCCUAGGAAUCUGCCUGGUAGUGGGGGAUAACGCUUGGAAACGGACGCUAAUACCGCAUACGUCCUACGGGAGAAAGCAGGGGACCUUCGGGCCUUGCGCUAUCAGAUGA